rnacentral:rRNA from 1 species
CGGAGGGUGCAAGCGUUGUCCGGAUUUAUUGGGUUUAAAGGGUGCGUAGGCGGUCUUUUAAGUCAGUGGUGAAAUCCUGCAGCUCAACUGUAGAGCAGCCAUUGAUACUGAAAGACUUGAGUACAGACGAGGUAGGCGGAAUUUAUGGUGUAGCGGUGAAAUGCAUAGAUACCAUAAAGAACCCCUAUUGCGAAGGCAGCUUACUAGGCUGUAGCUGACGCUGAGGCACGAAAGCGUGGGGAUCAAACAGGAUUAGAUACCCUGGUAGUCCACGCCGUAAACGAUGAUUACUCGAUGUUCGCGAUAUACAGUGAGCGUCCAAGCGAAAGCGUUAAGUAAUCCACCUGGGAAGUACGAUCGCAAGAUUG